rnacentral:rRNA from 1 species
AACGAACGCUGGCGGCAUGCCUAACACAUGCAAGUCGAACGAGACCUUCGGGUCUAGUGGCGCACGGGUGCGUAACGCGUGGGAACCUGCCCUUAGGUUCGGAAUAACUCCCCGAAAGGGGUGCUAAUACCGGAUAAUGUCUUCGGACCAAAGAUUUAUCGCCUUUGGAUGGGCCCGCGUUGGAUUAGCUAGUUGGUAGGGUAAAAGCCUACCAAGGCGACGAUCCAUAGCUGGUCUGAGAGGAUGAUCAGCCACACUGGGAAUGAGACACGGCCCAGACUCCUACGGGAGGGAGCAGUGGGGAAUAUUGGACAAUGGGCGAAAGCCUGAUCCAGCAAUGCCGCGUGAGUGAUGAAGGCCUUAGGGUUGUAAAGCUCUUUUACCCGGGAUGAUAAUGACAGUACCGGGAGAAUAAGCUCCGGCUAACUCCGUG